rnacentral:rRNA from 1 species
GGGGGGGGCAAGCGUUGUUCGGAAUUACUGGGCGUAAAGGGCGCGUAGGCGGCCUACUAAGUCGGACGUGAAAUCCCUCGGCUCAACCGAGGAACUGCGUCCGAUACUGGUGGGCUUGAAUCCGGGAGAGGGAUGUGGAAUUCCAGGUGUAGCGGUGAAAUGCGUAGAUAUCUGGAGGAACACCGGUGGCGAAGGCGGCAUCCUGGACCGGUAUUGACGCUGAUGCGCGAAAGCCAGGGGAGCAAACGGGAUUAGAUACCCCGGUAGUCCUGGCCCUAAACGAUGAGUGCUUGGUGUGGCGGGUAUCGAUCCCUGCCGUGCCGAAGCUAACGCAUUAAGCACUCCGCCUGGGGAGUACGGUCGCAAGGCUG